AGGCCAUGGCUGAAAUAGAAUGGCGUAGGAGGGCUUCGGCUUGGAGAGUUGUGUUGGGUAAUGGGCAUUCACACUCCCACCCUUAUCCUGGGUGAAACCGAAAAGAAUUAACAAUUGAAGCCCUAACCACUCGGUGACGCAGCCCUGUCGCCGGCAGUCACGUCAACCACCGUAGCCACAUCAACCCCGCAGUCCCGUCGCGUGUGGAAGUCCGGCACCUUCGCAGGAGCGUGAGGUCGUCUCAUCUGUUGGAGCGCGCUCUCACUGUGUUCACCGUGCCUCUGUCACCGCCACCGUGCCCCCGUCACCGUCUCCUCUGCGUGCUUCCCUCCCGUGCGUGAGGAAACAUCACUGGACAUUGGCAUGGACGAGGCGGCGUUUGGAACAGAAUAUUUAGAUGGUGAUGGUGACCUGGGAAAUGAUGUACGUGGCAGCAGUUUAACAAGGCCGGAGGAGGUGAUGGAGAUGAUGUUUAACUCUCCCGAUGAGGCUGCUUGUUUCGACGUUUCCAAGUGACGAUUCCAGUAAACUUAUCCGCCGUUGCAAAUGCCUUAGCAAUCCUUUCCAUAUCGCAUUGUGCUCUUGUUAAUGAACCAAUGUUACUUACCUUUUCAUGCAGUUAACUUACUUUUCGAUCAUGCAUUCUACCUUAGUUGUUACAUCAUUAAAAUAAAUUCCUCUACCCACACCAUGCAGACUUGGAAUGGUUUCCACUAA